UGGGGAAUAUUGCACAAUGGGCGAAAGCCUGAUGCAGCGACGCCGCGUGAGGGAUGACGGCCUUCGGGUUGUAAACCUCUUUCAGUAGGGACGAAGCGCAAGUUACGGUACCUGCAGAAGAAGCACCGGCUAACUACGUGCCAGCAGCCGCGGUAAUACGUAGGGUGCGAGCGUUGUCCGGAAUUACUGGGUGUAAAGAGCUCGUAGGCGGUUUGUCACGUCGUCUGUGAAAUCCUAGGGCUUAACCCUGGACGUGCAGGCGAUACGGGCUGACUUGAGUACUACAGGGGAGACUGGAAUUUCUGGUGUAGCGGUGGAAUGCACAGAUAUCAGGAAGAACACCGAUGGCGAAGGCAGGUCUCUGGGUAGUAACUGACGCUGAGGAGCGAAAGCAUGGGUAGCGAACAGG
rnacentral:rRNA from 1 species